UACGAAGGGGGGCUAGCGUUGCUCGGAAUUACUGGGCGUAAAGGGCGCGUAGGCGGAUAUUUAAGUUGGGGGUGAAAUCCCGGGGCUCAACCUCGGAAUUGCCUUCAAAACUGGAUAUCUUGAGUUCGGGAGAGGUGAGUGGAACUCCGAGUGUAGAGGUGAAAUUCGUAGAUAUUCGGAAGAACACCAGUGGCGAAGGCGACUCACUGGCCCGAUACUGACGCUGAGGCGCGAAAGCGUGGGGAGCAAACAGG
rnacentral:rRNA from 1 species